rnacentral:rRNA from 1 species
GGCGGACGGGUUAGUAACGCGUGGGAACGUACCCAGAUCUAAGGAAUAGCCACUGGAAACGGUGAGUAAUACCUCAUACGCCCUUCGGGGGAAAGAUUUAUCGGAUUUGGAUCGGCCCGCGUUAGAUUAGGUAGUUGGUGGGGUAAUGGCCUACCAAGCCUACGAUCUAUAGCUGGUUUUAGAGGAUGAUCAGCAACACUGGGACUGAGACACGGCCCAGACUCCUACGGGAGGCAGCAGUGGGGAAUCUUAGACAAUGGGGGCAACCCUGAUCUAGCCAUGCCGCGUGAGUGAUGAAGGCCUUAGGGUCGUAAAGCUCUUUCGCCUGUGGUGAUAAUGACAGUAGCAGGUAAAGAAACCCCGGCUAACUCCGUGCCAGCAGCCGCGGUAAUACGGAGGGGGUUAGCGUUGUUCGGAAUUACUGGGCGUAAAGCGCGC